CAGAGACUGCAAGCGUUAUUCGGAUUCACUGGGCGUAAAGGGUGCGCAGGCGGUUGGGUGUGUCAGAUGUGAAAUCCCGAGGCUCAACCUCGGAACUGCGUCUGAAACUACUCGACUAGAGUACUGGAGAGGGUAACGGAAUUCACGGUGUAGCAGUGAAAUGCGUAGAUAUCGUGAGGAACACCAGAGGCGAAGGCGGUUACCUGGACAGUUACUGACGCUCAGGCACGAAAGCAUGGGGAGCAAAAGGGAUUAGAUACCCCUGUAGUCCAUGCCCUAAACGGUGCACACUAGGUCUUAGCGGAUUCGACCCCACUAGGGCCCAAGCUAACGCGUUAAGUGUGCCGCCUGAGGACUACGGUCGCAAGACUA
rnacentral:rRNA from 1 species